rnacentral:rRNA from 1 species
UACGUAGGGGGCGAGCGUUAUCCGGAAUUAUUGGGCGUAAAGAGUGCGUAGGUGGUUACCUAAGCGCAAGGUUUAAGCUUGAGGCUCAACCUCAUUUUGCCUUGCGAACUGGGCUACUUGAGUUCAGGAGGGGAAAGCGGAAUUCCUAGUGUAGCGGUGAAAUGCGUAGAUAUUAGGAAGAACACCAGUGGCGAAGGCGGCUUUCUGGACUGUAACUGACACUGAGGCACGAAAGCGUGGGGAGCAAACAGGAUUAGAUACCCGGGUAGUCCCUGAGCGGGCUGG